AGAGUUUGAUCCUGGCUCAGGACGAACGCUGGCGGCGUGCUUAACACAUGCAAGUCGAACGAUGAAGCCCAGCUUGCUGGGUGGAUUAGUGGCGAACGGGUGAGUAACACGUGAGUAACCUGCCCUUCACUCUGGGAUAACUCCGGGAAACCGGUGCUAAUACUGGAUAUGACUCCAACCUGCAUGGGUAUGGGGUGGAAAGAUUUAUCGGUGGAGGAUGGACUCGCGGCCUAUCAGCUUGUUGGUGGGGUAAUGGCCUACCAAGGCGACGACGGGUAGCCGGCCUGAGAGGGUGACCGGCCACACUGGGACUGAGACACGGCCCAGACUCCUACGGGAGGCAGCAGUGGGGAAUAUUGCACAAUGGGCGAAAGCCUGAUGCAGCGACGCCGCGUGAGGGAUGACGGCCUUCGGGUUGUAAACCUCUUUCAGCUCUGACGAAGCCUUCGGGUGACGGUAGGAGCAGAAGAAGCACCGGCUAACUACGUG
rnacentral:rRNA from 1 species